CGUAUUACACAUGUUUGAAUGGCUAGCGUGUUACUUCGUUCUCAUCCGCAGCACAACCAGACCAAGAAAGGAGCUGAUGAAAGCUAGUCUAUUCUGGAGAAGACACCGGUUGGAGAAGGCAAUGAAGAUGGUUCACUACGAGCAUUCCUCAAGCGUCAUGCCAAGAAGUUAAGGCGGUUAUCGAACCUUCUCGGUUGCUGUGACCCAGAAUAUGAUGAACCAUCUGCCUCUAGGCCCGGUACACCAUCAGACCCCUUAUCUCACCAUCAGGGGGACGCUGUGAGGUCCUCAUUUGCUUAUAUGAAUGAUGAGGGUGCGGUCACCCAAGAGGUUGAUGAUGACAUGACUUUGGCAGACGCUCAAGUUUGGUCCGCAUACAUGUUGAAGCCUAGGCAUCCCAUAAAACGGUACACGCACAUCGACUUUGACAACAUAGGCA